AUACGUCGGGAGCGACCGUUGUCCGGAUUUACUGGGCGUAAAGGGCGCGUAGGCGGCGCUUCAAGUCGUCUGUCAAAUGGAAGGGCUUAACCCUUUUUCGCAGAUGAAACUGGAGAGCUUGAGAAGCAGAGAGGCAAACAGACUUCCUGGUGUAGCGGUGAAAUGCGUAGAUAUCGGGAAGAAUACCAGUGGCGAAGGCGGUUUGCUGGCUGCAUACUGACGCUGAAGCGCGAAAGCCAGGGGAGCGAACGGGAUUAGAUACCCCGGUAGUCCUGGCAGUAAACGAUGUAUGCUGGGUGUGAGACUAGCGAUAGUUUCGUGCCGAAGUUAACGCGAUAAGCAUACCGCCUGGGGAGUACGGUCGCAAGAUUGAAACUCAAAUGAAUUGACGGGG
rnacentral:rRNA from 1 species